rnacentral:rRNA from 1 species
CUACGGGUCGCUGCAGUGGGGAAUAUUGCACAAUGGGCGCAAGCCUGAUGCAGCCAUGCCGCGUGUAUGAAGAAGGACUUUGGGUUGUAACGUCCUUUCAGCGGGGAGGAAGGGAGUAAAGUUAAUACCUUUGCUCAUUGACGUUACCCGCAGAAGAAGCACCGGCUAACUCCGUGCCAGCAGCCGCGGUAAUACGGAGGGUGCAAGCGUUAAUCGGAAUUACUGGGCGUAAAGCGCACGCAGGCGGUUUGUUAAGUCAGAUGUGAAAUCCCCGGGCUCAACCUGGGAACUGCAUCUGAUACUGGCAAGCUUGAGUCUCGUAGAGGGGGGUAGAAUUCCAGGUGUAGCGGUGAAAUGCGUAGAGAUCUGGAGGAAUACCGGUGGCGAAGGCGGCCCCCUGGACGAAGACUGACGCUCAGGUGCGAAAGCGUGGGGAGCAAACAGGAUUAGAUACCCUAGUAGUC